rnacentral:rRNA from 1 species
CCUUCGGGUUGUAAAGCUCUUUCGGCCGGAACGAAAUCGCACGGGAUAACACCGCGUGUGGAUGACGGUACCGGAGUAAGAAGCACCGGCUAACUACGUGC